GCUGGGUGUUAUGGGGACGCCUGUAAUCCCCACUACUUGGGAGGCUGAGGCAAGAUAAUCACUUGAGCCCAAGAGUUUGAGGUUGCUGUGAGCUGUGCUACCAUGGCAUUCUACUGAGGGUGACAUAAGAGACUCUGUCUCAAAAUUUUCUCCCUUUUCCAACUUUUUUUUUUUUUUUUUUUUUUGAGACAGUCUUACUUUGUCACCCUGGGUAGAGUGCCAUGGCAUCACAGCUCACAGCAACCUCAAACUCUUGGGCUCAAGUGAUUAUCUUGCCUCAG
rnacentral:SRP_RNA from 1 species